GCCGACUUAGCUCAGCGGUAGAGCAGCAGUUUUGUAAACUGUCGGUCGCGAGUUCGAUCCUCGCAGUCGGCU
rnacentral:tRNA from 1 species